rnacentral:rRNA from 1 species
CUAUGCGCCUUGCCAGCCCCGCUCAGAAACUUAAAGGAAUUGACGGGGGCCCGCACAAGCGGUGGAGCAUGUGGUUUAAUUCGAUGAUACGCGAGGAACCUUACCUGGGCUCAAAUGUAUGUUGACGUAUUCUGAAAGGGAUACUUCUUCGGACAAUAUACAAGGUGCUGCAUGGUUGUCGUCAGCUCGUGCCGUGAGGUGUCGGGUUAAGUCCGCUAACGAGCGCAACCCUCGCUGUGUGUUACAAGUGUCACACGGAACUGCCGGUCAUAAACCGGAGGAAGGUGGGGAUGACGUCAAGUCAGCAUGGCCUUUAUAUCCUGGGCUACACACACGCUACAAUGGGAAGGGACAAUAGGUUGCGAAACCGCGAGGUGGAGCCAAUCCAGCAAAACUUCCCUCAGUUCAGAUUGCAGGCUGCAACUCGCCUGCAUGAAGUUGGAGUUGCUAGUAAACGCAGGUCAGCCAUACUGCGUUGAAUACGUUCCCGGGGCUU